GAUGGAAGUUGCCAGGAGGUGGACAGAACGUUCCCAGUUGUGCAACGAAAAUGUAACCUCCCAGCAACGUUGCAAGGACGUUCCGUGUUAGCUGGGAAUCAAUCAAACAGUCCACAAACACACCGAAAAGCAACAAAUUAGUUUUGCUGCAACAGUGAAAGCAUGUCCAUGAUUUUCAUUUUGACAAUUCUCAGGAAUAUUUAUUGAGAUUAUUGAAAUAUAGUGUUCUUACGGUAAGAAUGUUACUUUAACUCCGCGCACGCUGUUCGCGUGAUCGGUGAAGCUACAGCAUUUAAUCGGUGCAGCCGCUGAACUACUUCCUGAAUUUGUGUCAACAUAAAAGCCUUGUAAGAUUUUCAUACCCAAUUCCGUCUUACACUAGGUUUGUUUUAUUUCCGUUUGAUCAUAUAACGAUGGAUGACAAUCAGCAUAAUGAUUGACAUAACCAUUAACCAAUGAAAAUUGAGAGAGACAUGGGAUGGCCAAUCAGACUUCCAGGAGAGCGGGUCCUCCUGCUACCAUUGAAGAGCCGCCUCCCCGAACGGGCUCCUCAGCGACCACCAACCGGACAGAACGACGCUCUUUGACUGACAACAAGGCAACAAAUCUGCAUAUAAAGGCUCUGAACUGUUCCUGGGUGUCCAUGUCUACUCUCUGACCAGAGUUCUGUGGUGGAUAAAGUAGAUCAGCAGAUUAACAAUUCUCUACCUAUCACAUUACCAACACCGCUGAGAAGAACAGGAUGGGGGUAUGGUUUGGCGUGGAUACAGUCAUGUGCAUGGCAAAUCCGAAGACAUGCAGCUGUUGUUGGUGAUGAAAGAAGAAACUCCCCUGAACACCAGGAAUG